rnacentral:lncRNA from 1 species
GUGCCCUAAGGAAGGUUGUGGGGGGAAGGGAAGAGCCAUCCAAAAUUAUCUUCUCUGUGUGUGCAGGAAAGUCCAAGAGUUCGUGAAGAUGUUUAACUACCGGAAGGUCCGCUCGCCGUUGGUGGAGUGCAGACAGGCACAGCGCAUGGGAAAACCGGCAGGAUCUACCGAAGCUGAUCAUCCUACCUGUACCCUGGGACCCGUUUCUCUCCAGCAGAAUGUGCACAUCAGCCCUGUUUAUAAUGGCUUCAAAACUGCCUCCAUCUACGGCAGGCUGGAUAAUACAUUGUGUGUGUUCACAACACAGAAACCACCACAGACAGCAAGGAGAAUGGAUGAUCCACAGCUCCUCACAACAACAUGAAUGAAUCGCACAAGGUGAGAAAAUGGAGGUCCACUUGGCCAUGGUGAAGAGGUCACAUCGAUGGCAGAUGGAGUUUCACUCUUGUCGCCAAGGCUGUAGUGCAAUGGCGUGAUCUCGGCUCAUGGCAACCUCCACCUCCCAGGUUCAAGUGAUUCUCAUGCCUCAGGCUCCCGAGUAGCUGGGAUUACAGUGUUUCUGCCCGGCCGGUCUUUAUCAUGACCUGAGAAGUAGUUAAACGUGUGUAUAUUUGUGAAAAGUUGUCGAGGGGCUAAUCGUCCCUACCCUGUCUAUAUCGUGAGGUUUUUGGGGAGGAGCUGAUGAGAUUUCAAUAAAGGGAGUGUUGGGGAAAAAAAG